rnacentral:lncRNA from 1 species
GAUCCAGGAAAUAUUACCUACUACUAGCACAGAGUUGUUAGCAACUAUGACCUGCUACUAGUAGGUACAAAGACGGUCUCUACGUCUCUGGAGACUAACAUUUACUGCUACUACUAGGUAACGGCAAAGGAGCAUGUCUAAAAUGAUUUUCAUUGGUCAACGAGUCUACGUCGACGGUAUGCAAGCCAGGCUCUGUCUCAACAGAAAAAUAAAUAGAUUACCGCAGAGCAACUUCAGCCUGUAACCAGCUAGCUUUCUAGAUGUAGAAGUAGCUUCGUAAUGGUGAAAUGCGCCAUGCAAACCUUUCAACCACCAUUCCAGUAUUUUCCCAGUCACCUGGAAUUACAAAUAGAAUCUACAUUAUCAUGAAGAAAAUUAUACGGUAACCAUUGAUAAUAAUACAUCACCAGCUGGUCACAUGACCUCGUCAUGCAUCAUCAUCCGCCGCCAUUUUGUGUAAGGUCACGUCAUUUGUUCCACUCAACUUAGGCCUAGUUUAAGCUAGUUAAUUGUGUCUUUUCUCUAAAUAGAGCACAACAAACGUGGGUGUUUUCAUACCAAUAAAUACUCUUCAAUAUUCCUACCAUUGCCACAAAUGGGAACGUAAUGUCGUGCGUGUUUUCUACAGGUAGCCUUGCAUUCUUUGCGUCCCUAGAAACCGUCGACGUGCACAAGCAAGGUCACGCAUCAUAAAUGCCGUUUAUUCCAAAAGAAAGAGUGCUUUACCGAAACAGUAUGUCCUACAGUCCUACCUAUCGUAUAUUGUAUUGGAGUUGUUGCCUGGUAUCAAGCGCCCAUGUUUUGACGCGAAUCACUUGCAUCCAAAGACGAUUGGGUCACGUUCCUUUUCAGAAUCGCUCGUUUCUUUUAGUCCAACUGUAGCAGACACUACAUCUGCCUAUGAGCAAUGGACAAAACUGAGAAUACCUUAUCAUGAACCGUAGUGAACACUGCUGGCAACAUCCUGUUUUAUUGGCACACAACAGCAUCCCUCCUGAUCAAGUGAAAAGGAAUCCUAUGACACCGCUUGAUCUUUGUCUGACAUGGAAAUCUGAAAAUCAAAUAAGGUGGAAGAAUAACAUCUGGUUAAAAAAUUUAUGUGGAAAAAUAUCUGCUUUAAAGUGAUGUCAUGAACUGGACGCUGCACUCUUGAUUCCAACACUAAUAUUGUCAUGACCAAAUGUUAAAGUUCAUAUUCAGCAAGUUGAAGAUAACUGACACCAUCUUUAAGUAUAAGUUGCACAAAUAUGGUAUUCAGAAGUUUUUUGUUUUCACUACUGAUGUAUAUAUAGUAUAAAAAAAUGGAUUUCUGUAAUAGAAUAAAGUAUUGGAAUACA